UACGGGGGGGGCAAGCGUUGUUCGGAAUUACUGGGCGUAAAGGGCUCGUAGGUGGCCCCAUAAGUCAGACGUGAAAUCCCUUGGCUUAACCAAGGAACUGCGUCUGAGACUGCGGGGCUUGAAUCCGGGAGAGGGAUGCGGAAUUCCAGGUGUAGCGGUGAAAUGCGUAGAUAUCUGGAGGAACACCGGUGGCGAAGGCGGCAUCCUGGACCGGUAUUGACACUGAGGAGCGAAAGCCAGGGGAGCAAACGGG
rnacentral:rRNA from 1 species